CGACCGGCGCACGGGUGCGUAACGCGUAUGUAACCUACCUAUAACAGGGGCAUAACACUGAGAAAUUGGUACUAAUUCCCCAUAAUAUUCGGAGAGGCAUCUCUCCGGGUUGAAAACUCCGGUGGUUAUAGAUGGACAUGCGUUGUAUUAGCUAGUUGGUGAGGUAACGGCUCACCAAGGCAACGAUACAUAGGGGGACUGAGAGGUUAACCCCCCACACUGGUACUGAGGCACGGACCAG
rnacentral:rRNA from 1 species